rnacentral:rRNA from 1 species
AUGAGAGUUUGAUCCUGGCUCAGGACGAACGCUGGCGGCGUGCCUAAUACAUGCAAGUAGAACGCUGAAGGAGGAGCUUGCUUCUCUGGAUGAGUUGCGAACGGGUGAGUAACGCGUAGGUAACCUGCCUGGUAGCGGGGGAUAACUAUUGGAAACGAUAGCUAAUACCGCAUAAGAGUGGAUGUUGCAUGACAUUUGCUUAAAAGGUGCAAAUGCAUCACUACCAGAUGGACCUGCGUUGUAUUAGCUAGUUGGUGGGGUAACGGCUCACCAAGGCGACGAUACAUAGCCGACCUGAGAGGGUGAUCGGCCACACUGGGACUGAGACACGGCCCAGACUCCUACGGGAGGCAGCAGUAGGGAAUCUUCGGCAAUGGACGGAAGUCUGACCGAGCAACGCCGCGUGAGUGAAGAAGGUUUUCGGAUCGUAAAGCUCUGUUGUAAGAGAAGAACGAGUGUGAGAGUGGAAAGUUCACACUGUGACGGUAUCUUACCAGAAAGGGACGGCUAACUACGUGCCAGCAGCCGCGGUAAUACGUAGGUCCCGAGCGUUGUCCGGAUUUAUUGGGCGUAAAGCGAGCGCAGGCGGUUAGAUAAGUCUGAAGUUAAAGGCUGUGGCUUAACCAUAGUAGGCUUUGGAAACUGUUUAACUUGAGUGCAAGAGGGGAGAGUGGAAUUCCAUGUGUAGCGGUGAAAUGCGUAGAUAUAUGGAGGAACACCGGUGGCGAAAGCGGCUCUCUGGCUUGUAACUGACGCUGAGGCUCGAAAGCGUGGGGAGCAAACAGGAUUAGAUACCUGGUAGUCCACGCCGUAAACGAUGAGUGCUAGGUGUUAGACCCUUUCCGGGGUUUAGUGCCGUAGCUAACGCAUUAAGCACUCCGCCUGGGGAGUACGACCGCAAGGUUGAAACUCAAAGGAAUUGACGGGGGCCCGCACAAGCGGUGGAGCAUGUGGUUUAAUUCGAAGCAACGCGAAGAACCUUACCAGGUCUUGACAUCCCUCUGACCGCUCUAGAGAUAGAGCUUUCCUUCGGGACAGAGGUGACAGGUGGUGCAUGGUUGUCGUCAGCUCGUGUCGUGAGAUGUUGGGUUAAGUCCCGCAACGAGCGCAACCCCUAUUGUUAGUUGCCAUCAUUCAGUUGGGCACUCUAGCGAGACUGCCGGUAAUAAACCGGAGGAAGGUGGGGAUGACGUCAAAUCAUCAUGCCCCUUAUGACCUGGGCUACACACGUGCUACAAUGGCUGGUACAACGAGUCGCAAGCCGGUGACGGCAAGCUAAUCUCUUAAAGCCAGUCUCAGUUCGGAUUGUAGGCUGCAACUCGCCUACAUGAAGUCGGAAUCGCUAGUAAUCGCGGAUCAGCACGCCGCGGUGAAUACGUUCCCGGGCCUUGUACACACCGCCCGUCACACCACGAGAGUUUGUAACACCCGAAGUCGGUGAGGUAACCGUAAGGAGCCAGCCGCCUAAGGUGGGAUAGAUGAUUGGGGUGAAGUCGUAACAAGGUAGCCGUAUCGGAAGGUGCGGCUGGAUCACCUCCUUUCUA